rnacentral:tRNA from 1 species
AUUUAUAUAGUUUAAAAAACAUUACAUUUUCAUUGUAAAAUUAAGAGAUUCCACUUUAUAAAUA